rnacentral:tRNA from 1 species
GGCUCUGUGGCGCAAUGGAUAGCGCAUUGGACUUCUAGCCAAUCCGGGUGUGGUUAUUCAAAGGUUGUGGGUUCGAGUCCCACCAGAGUCG